AACUUUCAGCAACGGAUCUCUUGGCUCUCGCAUCGAUGAAGAACGCAGCGAAAUGCGAUAAG
rnacentral:rRNA from 1 species